rnacentral:lncRNA from 1 species
CUACUGCACUAAAUGCAUUCUGGUCAAAUGACAUGAUGUGUGGUUUUAUAAUAGAGGGUCUCCUCUCCAUCCAGCAACACCACAAGAGUGAGAAUUACAUUUCAGCAGUCUGUCCACAUUUGACAAUUGAUGAUGAAAGAAUCCUUUUCACAACCACCGCAAUAUCCUUGGAAUAUCUUUUGAAGAAAGAAAGGGCAAGUCAGUUUGCGAAAACGACUAUACUUUGUGAUGGUUUGAAGAGUAACCUCUGUAGGUGAAACGGGUGAAUAUCAGAC